UCGCCAUGUUCACCCACCAGAUGAUGGUCGCUUAGUCUGAUACACAGACUAACCACAGGCAAUCAUUAAGGCCUGAAUGAACCCUGUUAUGUCAGGACAGUGUGUGUGUGUGUGUUGUGUGUGUGUGUGUGUGUGUGUGUGUGUGUGUGUGUGUGUGUGAGUGAGAGACAGUACCUUGCUCCAGCUGCAGUACACACCACAUCCUGAAGACAUUUCUCUUGAAUCUCAUCAUCCAAAAUGACCUAACAAACAUACACUUACCAUUACCAAAUCAUUUUCAAAGUGACAGCAAUCACAAGUUACUUCCCGUGUCUUUUUCACCCAA